CCGAGGACUCAGGAGAUGGGGACAGACUUUUCACUAAAACACACAAAGAAAAUGGGAGAAGAUAAAAAUCUUUAAGACGUAUUUGGAGAAGUAAAUCCUCAUGUUGUAAUCCCACAAAAAUGAGAACAUGUUUUGAGAAGCACGCUUGUUGAUGUCUUCUUAUUCUUUCCAUUUGCUCUUCCACCGUCAUCCUAGGUCGAGUACUUUCAGCCAAACAGAGCUGUUCCACCGCACUUCUUGGUCUUUCCUUCAAUGUAAAAAUGAACAUAUCAAUACAUAGAUGAAAACUUUUGAAAAGUAUGAUGGAAUAAAAAAUUUUGUAAAGUGCA